UACGAAGGUGGCAAGCGUUGUUCGGAUUUACUGGGCGUACAGGGAGCGUAGGCGGUUGGAUAAGCCCUCCGUGAAAUCUCCAGGCUUAACCUGGAAAGUGCAGAGGGGACUGUUCAGCUAGAGGAUGGGAGAGGAGCGCGGAAUUCCCGGUGUAGCGGUGAAAUGCGUAGAGAUCGGGAGGGAGGCCGGUGGCGAAGGCGGCGCUCUGGAACAUUUCUGACGCUGAGGCUCGAAAGCGUGGGGAGCAAACAGGG
rnacentral:rRNA from 1 species